UGGGGAAUUUUGGACAAUGGGGGCAACCCUGAUCCAGCGACGCCGCGUGAAGGAUGAAGGUCUUCGGAUCGUAAACUUCUUUUAGAGGGGAUGAAUGAGUUAGUGAAUAGCCAAACGUGACAGUACUCUUUGAAUAAGCCACGGCUAACUACGUGCCAGCAGCCGCGGUAAUACGUAGGUGGCAAGCGUUACUCGGAAUUACUAGGCGUAAAGCGCAGGUAGGCGGUUGGAUAAGUUUCUUGUGAAAGCUCCCGGCUUAACUGGGAGAGGCCAAGGAAUACUAUCUGACUUGAGUAUGGUAGGGGUAACUGGAAUUCCCGGUGUAGCGGUGAAAUGCGUAGAUAUCGGGAGGAAUACCUAUGGCGAAGGCAGGUUACUGGGCCAUUACUGACGCUGAGCUGCGAAAGCUAGGGGAGCAAACAGGAUUAGAUACCCCCGUAGUCC
rnacentral:rRNA from 1 species